GCUAGUGUGGCUGAGUGGUCUAAGAUGCUGGAUUAAAGCCACAGUGUUCUUGGAAACUAGGGUUUGAGUCCCCCCACUGCCA